UCCUACGGGAGGCAGCAGUGGGGAAUCUUAGACAAUGGGGGCAACCCUGAUCUAGCCAUGCCGCGUGAGUGAUGAAGGCCUUAGGGUCGUAAAGCUCUUUCGCCUGUGAUGAUAAUGACAGUAGCAGGUAAGGAAACCCCGGCUAACUCCGUGCCAGCAGCCGCGGUAAUACGGAGGGGGUUAGCGUUGUUCGGAAUUACUGGGCGUAAAGCGCGCGUAGGCGGAUUAGAAAGUCGGGUGUGAAAACUCUGGGCUCAACCCAGAGACGCCACCCGAUACUGCUGUGACUAGAGUGCGGUAGGGGAGCGGGGAAUUCCUAGUGUAGCGGUGAAAUGCGCAGAUAUUGGGUGGAACACCAGUGGCGAAGGCGGCCAUCUGGUCCGGAUCUGACGCCGAGGCGCGAAAGCGUGGGGAGCAAACAGGAUUAGAUACCCUGGUAGUCCACGCCGUAAACGAUGUGCGCUAGACGUCGGGAGUUAGGCUCUCGGUGUCGCAGCUAACGCAUUAAGCGCACCGCCUGGGGAGUACGGCCGCAAGGUUAAAACUCA
rnacentral:rRNA from 1 species